GACAAUUUUACCCUCCACUUAAGAAACCAAAUUCUAUUAACCUUCGAUCUCUCUCUACCCGAUCACAGUCUCUCUCUCCUCGACCACAGAUAUUCACGUCUUUGGUCUCCGCUUCCGAUUCCGGCGACCACCGGCAUGGUGCUUUCUCUCCUCGAUCACAGAUCACGUCUUGGUCGCCACCUCCAAUUUCAUAGACCACCGACACGGUGCUUUCUCUCUCACACUCUCUCCUCGAUCACAGAUCUUCACGGCGCCGGCAUGAUGGUUCACUGAGAAAAUGGUGAAUGCGAUGCUCCGAUCUGGUGCGCUCCGAAAAGCCCUGCGCGGUGGUUCUCGGUCCUCUGUUCCGCCCAAGCAGCCCUUCUUCUCCACCGCCGGCCACAACCAUGCUUAUGACUACUGCAAUUGCCAUCGAGGAUGUGAGAAGGGAAGUCAAGAUAUUGAAAGCUUUGACCGGGCAUAGCAAUCUAGUACAAUUUUAUGAUGCAUUCGAAGACCAUGAUAAUGUCUAAGUAGUUAUGGAGUAUUUCAGUCAGAAAAAGCCUCAAGCCUAUUGCAAACCACCGGUUGUUGUUAAGCCGAACUGGAAUCCCAGAGGCAAGCCUUGUUCAAGCAAAGUCAGAUCAAGUUUUGGGAGAAAAUGUGUUUAUUUUGUUUUUAAAUUAGCAAAUUGUGUUGAAUUUGUAGAUAAGGAGCAGAUGAGGAUAGUGAAGGAGGCAUUGCACUUGUCUACGGUUCCCUCUAGUGUUACGUGCCGCGAAGUGGAGCAGAAGAGGGUUCUGGAGUUCUGCAAGUCAUGCAUAGAGCAAGAGAAGGCUCAUGGAUACAGUUUUUGUAUUACAAUUUGGUAAUUCCUAUGGAUUUUACGGCUUACUCUAGUGAAUGAUGCUCAUGGAUACAAGUUAUGUUGAUGGAUUAUGAUAUGUGCAAUACAUGCAAGGUUGAGCAUUGCAAGCCUUCGACACUGUAAAUUUAUAGUUGUUUUAAUGUUUCAUAGUAGUUUUUGUGUUGGUUGGUAA